rnacentral:tRNA from 1 species
GCGCCCAUAGCUCAAUUGGAUAGAGUGCCGCCCUACGAAGGCGUAGGUUCCCCGUUCAAAUCGGGGUGGGCGCGCCA